rnacentral:rRNA from 1 species
GAUGAACGCUGGCGGCGUGCCUAAUACAUGCAGGUCGAGCGAAUGGAUUAAGAGCUUGCUCUUAUGAAGUUAGCGGCGGACGGGUGAGUAACACGUGGGUAACCUGCCCUUCACUUCGGGAUAACUCCGGGAAACCGGGGCUAAUACCGGAUAUGACCUCUGCGGGCAUCCGCGGAGGUGGAAAGUUUUUCGGUGAAGGAUGGGCCCGCGGCCUAUCAGCUUGUUGGUGAGGUAGUGGCUCACCAAGGCGACGACGGGUAGCCGGCCUGAGAGGGCGGCCGGCCACACUGGGACUGAGACACGGCCCAGACUCCUACGGGAGGCAGCAGUGGGGAAUAUUGCGCAAUGGGCGAAAGCCUGACGCAGCAACGCCGCGUGCGGGAUGACGGCCUUCGGGUUGUAAACCGCUUUCAGCAGGGAAGAAGCCGCAAGGUGACGGUACCUGCAGAAGAAGCACCGGCUAACUACGUGCCAGCCGCCGCCGUAA